AGUUCCGAUACGAUCACCGAAGUUAAGCAACGGCCAUCCUAGUCAGUACUUAGAUGGGUGACCGCUUGGGAAUACCAGGUGCUGUAAG